rnacentral:tRNA from 1 species
GUCCCCAUCGUCUAGAGGCCUAGGACACCGGCCUUUCACGCCGGUAACCGGGGUUCGAAUCCCCGCGGGGACGCCA